rnacentral:rRNA from 1 species
AUUAUCUAUGAUAAUGAAAGGGGCUUUCGGGCUUCGCUAGUCGAUAGGGGUAAGUUGUAUUAGCUAGUUGGUGAGGUAAUGGCUCACCAAGGCGAUGAUGCAUAGCCNGCUUUAGCGAGUGAUUGGCCACAUUGGGACUGAGACAAGGCCCAGACUCCUUCGGGAGGCAGCAGCAGGGAAUUUUUCGCAAUGGGGGAAACCCUGACGAAGCGAUACUACGUGAAGGAAGAAGGUCUAUGGAUUGUAAACUUCUGUCAGCGUUUAAGAAAAAAAUAAAUGAAAGUUUAUUAUUGACUAGACGCUUAGAAAGUCACGACUAACUACGUGCCAGCAGUCGCGGCAAUACGUAGGUGGCGAAUGUUAUCCGGAAUUAUUGGGCGUAAAGAAUGCGUAGAUGGUAAAAUAAGUCAUUGGUAGAAGUCAGGCUCAACCUGAAAGAAGCUGGUGAUACUGUUUUUCUAGAGUGUAGGAGAGGUUGAUGGAAUUCCAUGUGGAGCGGUGAAAUGCAUAGAUAUAUGGAGGAACACCAACAAAGGCGAAGGCAGUCAACUAUUCUACUACUGACAUUGAAGCAUGAAAGCGUGGGGAGCAAAAAGGAUUAGAUACCCUUGUAGUCCACGCCGUAAACGAUGAGUACUAGUUGUUGGACAUAAGUUCAGUGGCGCCAGCUAACGCGUUAAGUACUCCGCCUGGAUAGUACGCUCGCAAGAGUGAAACCCAAAGGAAUUGACGGGGACUCGCACAAGCGGUGGAGCAUGUGGUUUAAUUCGAUACAACGCGCAAAACCUUACCGAGGCUUGACAUGGAGUGCAAAGCUGUGGAAACGCAGUGGAGGUUAUCACAACACAGAUGGUGCAUGGCCGUCGUCAGUUCGUGCUGUGAAGUGUAUGCUUAAGUGCUAUAACGAACGCAACCCUUGUCUUUAGUUACUACUCGUAAGAGA